UUCCGGUUGAUCCUGCCGGACCCGACUGCUAUUUGGGUGAGAAUAAGCCAUGCGAGUUGAAUGGGAUACCUAAAGUUCCCAUAGCAAACUGCUCAGUAACACAUGAUCAACUUACCCUAUAGAGAAAAAUAACCUCGGGAAACUGAGGAUAAUGUUUCACAAUUGAAUUGGCUUGGAAAAGUUUUUCAAUGAAAAGGAUAAAAAAAAUGGUUUCUAUCUGCUAUAGGAUAGGAUCGUGUUCGAUUAUGGUUGUUGGUGAGAUAAUGGCUCACCAAGCCGAUAAUCGAUAGGGGCCGUGAGAGCGGGAGCCCCGAGAUGGGUACUGAGACAACGACCCAGGCCUUACGAGGCGCAGCAGGCGCGGAACCUCCGCAAUACACGAAAGUGUGACGGGGUUACCCAAAGUGUUCAAUAGAACUGUGGUAGGUGAGUAAUGUCCCCUACUAGAAAGGAGAGGGCAAGGCUGGUGCCAGCCGCCGCGGUAAAACCAGCUCUUCAAGUGGUCGGGAUAAUUAUUGGGCUUAAAGUGUCCGUAGCCGGUUUAGUAAGUUCCUGGUAAAAUCGGGUAGCUUAACUAUCUGCAUGCUAGGAAUACUGCUAUACUAGAGGGCGGGAGAGGUCUGAGGUACUACAGGGGUAGGGGUGAAAUCUUAUAAUCCUUGUAGGACCACCAGUGGCGAAGGCGUCAGACUGGAACGCGCCUGACGGUGAGGGACGAAAGCCAGGGGAGCGAACCGGAUUAGAUACCCGGGUAGUCCUGGCCGUAAACGAUGCAUACUAGGUGAUGGUACGGCCAUGAGCCGUAUCAGUGCCGUAGGGAAACCGUUAAGUGUGCCGCCUGGGAAGUACGGUCGCAAGGCUAAAACUUAAAGGAAUUGGCGGGGGAGCACCACAAGGGGUGAAGCCUGCGGUUCAAUUGGAUUCAACGCCGGGAAAUCACUAGUGCGGGCCGCCUGCAGUCGACCAUAUGGGAGAGCUCCCAACGCGUUGGGAUGCAUAGCUUGAGUAUUCUAUAGUGUCACCUAAAUAGCUUGCGUAUCAUGUCAUAGCCUGUUUCCUGUGUGAAUGUAUCCGCCUCACAUUCCACAACAACAUACGAGCGAAGCAUAAGUGUAAGCUGGGGUGCUUAAUGAGUGGAGCUACUCAAUAAUGCAUGCCCUCACUGCCGGCAUUCAAGUUCGGAAUCUGUCCGGGUCCAG
rnacentral:rRNA from 1 species